rnacentral:rRNA from 1 species
GAUGAACGCUGGCGGCAUGCCUAAUACAUGCAAGUCGAACGAGAGGAAGGAAAGCUUGCUUUUCUGAAUCUAGUGGCGAACGGGCGAGUAACACGUAGGUAACCUGCCCAUGUGCCCGGGAUAACUUCUGGAAACGGAUGCUAAAACCGGAUAGGUAGCAGACAAGCAUUUGACUGCUAUUAAAGUGGCUAAGGCCAUGAACAUGGAUGGACCUGCGGUGCAUUAGCUAGUUGGUGAGGUAACGGCCCACCAAGGCGACGAUGCAUAGCCGGCCGGAGAGGGCGGACGGCCACAUUGGGACUGAGACACGGCCCAAACUCCUACGGGAGGCAGCAGUUGGGAAUUUUCGUCAAUGGGGGGAACCCUGAACGAGCAAUGCCGCGUGAGUGAGGAAGGUCUUCGGAUCGUAAAGCUCUGUUGUAAGAGAAAAACGACAUUCAUAGGGAAUGAUGAGUGAGUGAUGGUAUCUUACCAGAAAGUCACGGCUAACUACGUGCCAGCCGCCGCGGUAA